GUUUAUUUAAUGCUUUAUUGUCAUAAUGAGUUCUUCUUUAUUCCUUCCUCCAGCUACUUGGAACUUCUCACAAAUGCCUUGGACCAUGAAAAUUGGUCACUGGUUCAAUUCCUCAUGUCAUCUUCUUACAGUGGAUAUGGCACCUCCAGCUUGCAACAAGUAAAAAAGUUCACAAAUGUUCCAGAAACAAUUAUGUAUGAUCUAAGGAAAGGAAGUUUAAGAGGGCUAGAGGAAGGAGGAAUAGCAAAGGAAAUAGAAUUUAAGUUGUAUUGUUUCUGUAUUUUUUUUCAGUUUUUAGUU